UACGUAGGUGGCAAGCGUUGUCCGGAUUUACUGGGCGUAAAGGAUGCGUAGGCGGACAUUUUAAGUCAGAUGUGAAAUACCCCGAGCUUAGCUUGGGUGCUGCAUUUGAAACUGGGUGUCUAGAGUGCAGGAGAGGUAAGUGGAAUUCCUAGUGUAGCGGUGAAAUGCGUAGAGAUUAGGAAGAACACCAGUGGCGAAAGGCGGCUAUCUGGACGGUUUCUGACACUAAGACUCGAAAGCGUGGGGAGCAAACAGG
rnacentral:rRNA from 1 species